rnacentral:rRNA from 1 species
AUUGAACGCUGGCGGCAGGCCUAACACAUGCAAGUCGAACGGUAACAGGGAUCAGCUUGCUGAUUCGCUGACGAGUGGCGGACGGGUGAGUAAUGUCUGGGAAACUGCCUGAUGGAGGGGGAUAACUACUGGAAACGGUAGCUAAUACCGCAUAACGUCGCAAGACCAAAGAGGGGGACCUUCGGGCCUCUUGCCAUCGGAUGUGCCCAGAUGGGAUUAGCUAGUAGGUGGGGUAACGGCUCACCUAGGCGACGAUCCCUAGCUGGUCUGAGAGGAUGACCAGCCAAACUGGAAAUGAGACCGGGGCCAGACCCCCAGGGGGGGCAGGGGGGGGGAAUUUUGAAAAAGGGGCGAAAGCCUGAUGCAGCCAUGCCGGGGGUAUGAAGAAGGCCUUCGGGUUGUAAAGUAUUUUAAGGGGGGGGGAAGGGAGUAAAGUUAAAACCUUUGCUCAUUGACGUUACCCGCAAAAGAAGCCCCGGCUAACUCCGU